CAGCUGCCAAAACAAAGGAAUAGAAAUGGAAGAGUUAGAGGCAGUGUUAUGCUAGAGCUGUCCCUUAGCGAGCUGAUUUUAAAGCUUGAAAUCGGCCAUGGGAUAAAUUCCCAGAAGUGGAAGACAUUGCCAAGUUUUUCUUCAGAAAGAUGGGAUGAAUUCUUGGCCUGAAAAAGGGGAAUCAAAAGACGUGCUUUCCUGUGCUUCAGCUGCAAUGUCUAUUUCUCAAGACGCUGAAAAAGAUGAUUUAGAGUUUUAUGAUUAAUGGAAGGGAGGAAUCUACUCUAAAGAAAUUGGAUAAUACUAUAAAUAAGAAAUAAAAAUUAUUUGACAAAAGCUAUCUUCCCCUUAGGGAUUAUAUGUACUACUGAUUUACCUUACUGUAUCUUAUUCAACAG
rnacentral:lncRNA from 1 species